CUUGAACCCAGGAAGCAGAGGUUGCAGUGAGCUGAGAUUGUGCCAUUGCAUUCCAGCCUGGACAACAGAGCAGGACUCUGUCUCAAAAAAUAAAUAUAUAAAUAAAAAAAAUUUUAAAAAUGAUUAAAAGUACAAUAUAGUAAAUACAUAAACCAGUAAUACAGUUGUUUAUUCUCAUUAUCAAGUAAGAUGCUACCGUGCAUAAUCGUGCGUGCCAUCCUUUUAUACAGCUUGUAGUUCCGUGGAUUAUUUCCCGCCAGCGUCACCACAGACACGUGAGGAAUGCAUGGUGCUGCCCUGUUACCACAGCUACCACAUCACUAGGCAAGAGGAAUUUUCCCACUCCAUUAUAAUUAGGGCCACCGUCAUGUAUGUGGUCCCUUGUUGACCAAAACAACAUUCUGUGGCACAUGACUGUAUUUACACCCCCAUUUGACAGUGAGACAGCUGGAGAGGUUAGCCAACUCCCUAAGGUCCCAGAGCCUAGUUAUGUGGCAGAAUUGAGGUUGGAACAUGCUGUCAGCUUCCAGAACCCCAGUGUAUCCUUUUCAGUCACCUAUGAGAGAGAGAGAAAAAAAUGUGGGUAGGGAGUGGUAAGGUUGAGACACUCUGGAGGUACAGGUGGGGCUCAGGGGGAGGAGGCCAUUCUUCCGUACAUAACACUGUUAAACUUUUCAGAAUCACUGUUUCUCUCCCAUUGUAUUUUGCCCUUCUGGGCUCACAUGCAU
rnacentral:lncRNA from 1 species